AAGCGUUGUYCGGAAUUAUUGGGCGUAAAGCGCGCGCAGGCGGUCCUUUAAGUCUGAUGUGAAAGCCCACGGCUCAACCGUGGAAGGUCAUUGGAAACUGGGGGACUUGAGUGCAGAAGAGGAAAGUGGAAUUCCAAGUGUAGCGGUGAAAUGCGUAGAGAUUUGGAGGAACACCAGUGGCGAAGGCGACUUUCUGGUCUGUAACUGACGCUGAGGCGCGAAAGCGU
rnacentral:rRNA from 1 species